rnacentral:rRNA from 1 species
AAAAACAUGGCCUUUUGAUUUGUAUUUAAGGUCUAGCCUGCUCAAUGAGUUUUAAAUAGCCGCAGUAUCUUAACUGUGCAAAGGUAGCAUAAUCAUUAGUUUUUUAAUUGAAAGCUGGAAUGAAAGGUUGAAUGAGAAAAUAGCUGUCUCUAUAAAAAUUUUAUAGAAUUUUAUUUUUAAGUCAAAAAGCUUAAAUAUUAAUAAAAGACGAGAAGACCCUAUAGAGUUUUAUAUUUACUUAAGAUAAUCCUUUUAGAAUUUUAAAAUUUAUUUUUUAUAAUAUUUGGUUGGGGUGAUUAGAAAAUUGAAUAAACUUUUCUUUUAUAGGAACAUUUAUUUAUGAAAAAAUGAUCCAUUUUUAAAGAUUAUAAGAUCAAAUUACCUUAGGGAUAACAGCGUAAUUUUUUUUGAGAGUUCUUAUCGAAAAGAGAGAUUGCGACCUCGAUGUUGGAUUAAAAUGAAUUUUUGGUGUAGAAGCUAAAUUUAAUUAGGUCUGUUCGACCUUUAAAAUUUUACUUGAUCUGAGUU